rnacentral:rRNA from 1 species
GACGAACGCUGGCGGCGUGCUUAACACAUGCAAGUCGAACGAUGAACCUCGAAAUGAUUUCUUCGGAAAGAUUUUUGAGAGGAUUAGUGGCGAACGGGUGAGUAACGCGUGAGCAACCUGCCUUAGACAAGGGGAUAGCCUCGGGAAACCGUGAUUAAUACCCUAUGAGACUCCACUUACGAGUGUAAGAGAAGUUAAAGCUAUUGCGGUCUAAGAUGGGCUCGCGUCUGAUUAGCUAGUUGGUGAGAUAAAAGCCCACCAAGGCGACGAUCAGUAACCGGCUGGAGAGAGUGAACGGUCACAUUGGAACUGAGACACGGUCCAAACUCCUACGGGAAGCAGCAGUGGGGAAUAUUGCACAAUGGGGGCAACCCUGAUGCAGCGACGCCGCGUGAGCGAUGAAGGAAUUCGUUUCGUAAAGCUCUGUCCUUGGAGAAGAUAAUGACGGUAACCAAGGAGGAAGCACCGGCUAAAUACGUG